UACGGAGGGUGCAAGCGUUAUCCGGAUUCACUGGGUUUAAAGGGUGCGUAGGCGGGCAGGUAAGUCCGUGGUGAAAUCUCUGAGCUUAACUCAGAAACUGCCAUGGAUACUAUUUGUCUUGAAUAUUGUGGAGGUGAGCGGAAUAUGUCAUGUAGCGGUGAAAUGCUUAGAUAUGACAUAGAACACCAAUUGCGAAGGCAGCUCACUAACACAGUUAUUGACGCUGAGCACGAAAGCGUGGGGAUCAAACAGG
rnacentral:rRNA from 1 species